UUCGGUUCGAAAUCUUUUACCCGAGUUUUAAUUGACCCUUUAACCUUCUAACCACCGCAAUCAAAAGAGACAGAUUAUUUAUAAUCCAGCGAGUUUAUAAUAUAUUUACAGUGUGUUUGUUUAACCAAAAAGUAAAGAGUGGUGAAGUAGUUUUCGGUUGUAAAACUCAAACUCUUCAGAAUAAUGUAACUAAUUUCGACCUAUUCCAGACCAAAAUCGAUUUUUAUCUGAAUUCUACUUUACUUGAGAUUUUAUUUUAACUGAAACUUUACCUUCGGUGAAACAAACAGAUUUUUUACUUAUAAUGUACUAAUUUUAGUCAC
rnacentral:lncRNA from 1 species